rnacentral:rRNA from 1 species
GAUGAACGCUGGCGGCGUGCCUAAUACAUGCAAGUCGAGCGAACAGAUGAGGAGCUUGCUCCUCUGACGUUAGCGGCGGACGGGUGAGUAUCACGUGGAUAACCUACCUAUAAGACUGGGAUAACUUCGGGAAACCGGAGCUAAUACCGGAUAAUAUAUUGAACCGCAUGGUUCAAUAGUGAAAGACGGUUUUGCUGUCACUUAUAGAUGGAUCCGCGCCGCAUUAGCUAGUUGGUAAGGUAACGGCUUACCAAGGCAACGAUGCGUAGCCGACCUGAGAGGGUGAUCGGCCACACUGGAACUGAGACACGGUCCAGACUCCUACGGGAGGCAGCAGUAGGGAAUCUUCCGCAAUGGGCGAAAGCCUGACGGAGCAACGCCGCGUGAGUGAUGAAGGUCUUCGGAUCGUAAAACUCUGUUAUUAGGGAAGAACAAAUGUGUAAGUAACUAUGCAUGUCUUGACGGUACCUAAUCAGAAAGCCACGGCUAACUACGUG